rnacentral:rRNA from 1 species
AGUGAACGCUGGCGGUAGGCCUAACACAUGCAAGUCGAACGGCAGCACAGUAAGAGCUUGCUCUUACGGGUGGCGAGUGGCGGACGGGUGAGGAAUACAUCGGAAUCUACUUUUUCGUGGGGGAUAACGUAGGGAAACUUACGCUAAUACCGCAUACGACCUACGGGUGAAAGCAGGGGAUCUUCGGACCUUGCGCGAUUGAAUAAGCCGAUGUCGGCUUAGCUAGUUGGCGGGUUAAAGGCCCACCAAGGCGACGAUCCGUAGCGGGUCUGAGAGGAUGAUUAGCCACACUGGAACUGAGAAACGGGCCAGACUCCUACGGGAGGAAGCAGUGGGGAAUAUUGGACGAUGGGCGCAAGCCUGAUACAGCCAUACCGCGUGGGUGAAGAAGGCCUUCGGGUUGUAAAGCCCUUUUGUUGGGAAAGAAAAGCAGCAGGUUAAUACCCCGCUGUUCUGACGGUACCCAAAGAAUAAGCACCGGCUAACUUCGUG